AACCUAGCACACCUGCGGUGUGUACCUGCGGAAGGAUCAUUCAUGUGUCUUUAAUAUGGACAACUUAAUCCAUAUCUACCUUGUGUGCACUGUUUUGCUGUUGAUUUUGGCAUGUGCUUUGAGCUCGUUAGAAGAGUGCAACCUCUCCUAUGGCGUCUCAAGGGCGAAGCACAGGACUGACUGGUGAAUGAGGUUUUUUUAUCUCUUUCCCCUAAGGACCUGCGUGGCAUGCCAAAGUUU
rnacentral:misc_RNA from 1 species